ACACACAGGUAGUGACAAUGCUCCUUGAAAAAGGAGCAGAUGUCACUGCCUCUACUAAUGAUGGUAAGACUGCUCUUUAUUGCGCUUCUGGUGACACUGCCACUAUAC